ensembl:lncRNA
AUGUUAUUGAAAUUGGAACAUUUCUUUCAUGUUCCAGGCAUAGCAGUUAAUGAGUUUUUAGAAGAACUGCAUUUUUUGUUGAGUACCUCAUCCCAAACUGCUACAUGUGACAGGCUCAAAGAACUGUUUCAGGAACACAGUCUUGCCUGUGAGGAUGCAAUUAUUCAAAAUAUUGCUAAAGCUGUGUGUGAAUCUCAUCCACUGCACACAGCAAUAGAACCGCGUGGUCCACUAAGCACAGUGUAUCGGCGCAAGGAGUUUUAUAAAAGUCACUUCUGUGUUGUUGAACCUGUUGAAUACAUCCUUGAUUCACAACAGGGAAAAACUUAUCAGUAUGUUCCCAUUUUAAAAUUCCUGCAACAGCUGUUAGCCAAGGAGGAUGUGAUUGAAACAAUACUGGCAAACCACAGAUAUGAGCAUAAUGAAGCUGUUUAUUCAUCCUAUCAGGAUGGCAGUAUCUUUAGGGAAAAUGCAUUCCUGUCAGGAGAUGACUUGCGCCUUUUGUUAAGGUUGUAUGUUGAUGAUUUUGAAGUGUGUAACCCACUUGGUACCUCUCGGAGAGCACACAAGCUCUGUGCAGUGUAUUGGACUCUAAGCAAUUUGCCUACAAGUUCUCAUGCAACAAUGUCGUCCAUUUACUUGGCUGUGUUGUGUAAAAGUAAUGACGUGAAAGAAUACGGCUUCAAUAAAAUCCUUGAGCCUCUUCUUGAGGACCUGGCACAUUUAGAAGAAGUUGGCAUUUUUAUUCCUUCAGUUGGUCAUUUUGUGAAGGGUACUGUGCAUGUCGUGAUUGCAGACAACCUUGGGGCCCAUAGCAUAGCUGGUUAUGUUGAGAGUUUUUCUUCUGAGUAUUACUGCAGAUUCUGCACUGGAAAGAGCUCGGAAAUUCAGAUUAAUGAGGUUCGGUCAGGUGGUUUUAGCCUUAGAAAGAGAGAGAGUUAUGAUGCUCACCUGAAAUCUGCACAACAGACUGGCAGCUGUUGUUUUGGUGUUAAAAAAGAAUGUGUAUUCUCCACACGCCUUGCUCAUUUUCAUGUUCUCUCUGGCUAUCCCCCGGAUGUCAUGCAUGAUGUUUUUGAAGGUGUUGUACCAUUUGAGCUUAAACAUUGUUUAUCAAUGCUUUUAUCAAAGAAGUACUUCACCUUUGAAUUUCUCAAUGAACGUAUUGUUAAUUUCCCCUAUAAAUGGACGGAUAAGACAAACAGACCUCAUGCAAUCCCUCGCUCAAUGUUCAGCCAGAAUACUAUUGGAGGCAAUGCUCACGAGAACUGGAACCUGAUAAGGUUGCUUCCAUUUCUUGUAUGGCUGGUGCUUAUGGAUCUCAAAGACAUUGUUGAGCUUGUGGUAUCACCAGUUCACACUGAUGAGUCAAUUGCAUACCUUGAUGGCAAAAUUUCUGAACACCGACAGAGGUUUCAGGAAGUUUUUCCAGGUGUGAAGUUAAUUCCAAAAGAGCACUUUUUGGAACAUUACCCUGAACUUAUCAAGUCAUAUGGUCCACUUGUGCAUCUGUGGACUAUGCGCUUUGAAGCCAAACACCACUUUUUCAAGCAAGUUGCUCGGGUUACCAAUUGUUUCAAAAAUAUCCCCCUUACACUUGCAGCUAAGCACCAGCUAAUGAUUUCUCACAGUUUGAAAUCGUACCAUCUUGAAAAAUCUGCACUAGAUGUAUCAACUGUAUCAACAGUGCCUCUGACUGUUUUGAGAACAGAAAUAACACAGGUCAUCCAAGACAAGUACCCAGACACUGAAUUCGUCCAGAUCACCACAAGUGUCACCAGUAAAGGCCUCAGUUACAGAAAUGGAAUGAUUGUUGUUUGUCGCUCUUUAGACGGGCUCCCUGAAUUUGCAGAGAUUAUUCAGAUGUGUAUAGUGCAGAAGGGACUGUGUUUUGUACUUAAAGGUCUGUGUGGUUGGUAUAGGGAGCAUUUUAGGGCCUUUGAACUGACCUCUUCUCCAUCAAGGGAGAUUUUCUUUCUUGAACUAAGUGAAUUAGCUGAUGGAUAUCCAUUGGCUGACUACAAGGUAGGAGGUCUUCGUUUGGUGUCACUGAAAAGACAAAUUCAUUCAUAA